rnacentral:rRNA from 1 species
CCUAGCGGCAGACGGGUGAGUAACAUGUGGGAAUCUGCCUUUUGGUUCGGAAUAACACGAGGAAACUUGUGCUAAUACCGGAUAAGCCCUUACGGGGAAAGUUUUAAUGCCAAAAGAUGAGCCCGCACUUGAUUAGCUAGUUGGUAAGGUAAUGGCUUACCAAGGCAACGAUGGGUAGGGGCCCUGAGAGGGGGAUCCCCCACACUGGUACUGAGACACGGACCAGACUCC